UGUUACACUAGGUUACAGCGUCAGCUACUGUUACACUAGGUUACAGCGUCAGCUACUGUUACACUAGGUUACAGCGUCAGCUACUGUUACACUAGGUUACAGCAUCAGCUACUGUUACACUAGGUUACAGCGUCAGCUACUGUUACACUAG